CAGCAGCCGCGGUAAUACGUAGGGCGCAAGCGUUAUCCGGAAUUAUUGGGCGUAAAGAGCUCGUAGGCGGUUUGUCGCGUCUGCCGUGAAAGUCCGGGGCUCAACCCCGGAUCUGCGGUGGGUACGGGCAGACUAGAGUGAUGUAGGGGAGACUGGAAUUCCUGGUGUAGCGGUGAAAUGCGCAGAUAUCAGGAGGAACACCGAUGGCGAAGGCAGGUCUCUGGGCAUUAACUGACGCUGAGGAGCGAAAGCAUGGGGAGCGAACAGGAUUAGAUACCCGCGUAGUCCCUGUCUCUUAUAC
rnacentral:rRNA from 1 species